rnacentral:lncRNA from 14 species
UGUAAAACAUGCUACAGCUUACCCUGAGUCUCACAGAAAUUGGAGAAAUGUUAACAGUCUUGGUUUGGGGAACAGAUCUUUAGUGUAACAUACAACGCCAGGAACUCAUCCGUUCAUGGGACAAGUACUGAAUACCCAGGGCUAUUUGACCUGCUGUGGGAAAGGAUGCUUCUGUCCUUUUGUCUUCUAGAAGGAAGAGAGAGGACAACAGCAGAUCAGCAGAAUAUAGAGCAUCAAAUAGACACUGAAGAUGGCUGCAGUAAGACUUACGUAGGCACAAGCUUCUCAGUCUGCUGAAAGGUGAUGAGGCAAGUGGAGAGUGGAGACUAAGAAACAGAAAACAGGCAAUCAGUGACUGUCCCGCGCUAUCGUCUUGCCAGCAAGAACGCAUGCGGACACCAGGAUCCUUCUGCAGCAAAGCGUUUAUUGCAUCUUGAAGAGGAGAGACGCCUCGGCCCCAGAGAGUAUUAGCUUUAUAUCACCUAAAGCAACGUGUUCCUUCCUGAUUGGCCACAUAGCCGUGAUCUCAUUGGCACGCCCCGGGGGGGGGGGCAAAGACUUGGCGCGAACACAAACUUGCGCAUGCGCACUGCGUCCUUCGGGGGUGGACAACAGCUGUGCCCUGUACUAACAGACAACAGCUGGUACGGGUGGCUACCAACAAGUGACCCAAAGAGAUGUGACAGGCAUGGGGACGAGACACAUCAGACUCUGGGAGUGUUGUGAUAACUCUGCAAAGGCUGAAAACAGACACUUCAGAGCACAGUGAGCCUACUGCUCCAGUGUGUGGUGUGCCU